GAUGAACGCUGGCGGCGUGCCUAAUACAUGCAAGUCGAGCGAACAGACGAGGAGCUUGCUCCUCUGACGUUAGCGGCGGACGGGUGAGUAACACGUGGAUAACCUACCUAUAAGACUGGGAUAACUUCGGGAAACCGGAGCUAAUACCGGAUAAUAUAUUGAACCGCAUGGUUCAAUAGUGAAAGACGGUUUUGCUGUCACUUAUAGAUGGAUCCGCGCCGCAGUAGCUAGUUGGUAAGGUAACGGCUUACCAAGGCGACGAUGCGUAGCCGACCUGAGAGGGUGAUCGGCCACACUGGAACUGAGACACGGUCCAGACUCCUACGGGAGGCAGCAGUAGGGAAUCUUCCGCAAUGGGCGAAAGCCUGACGGAGCAACGCCGCGUGAGUGAUGAAGGUCUUCGGAUCGUAAAACUCUGUUAUUAGGGAAGAACCAAUGUGUAAGUAACUAUGCACGUCUUGACGGUACCUAAUCAGAAAGCCACGGCUAACUACGUG
rnacentral:rRNA from 1 species